UGGAUGCUGGCAAAAGCAUUAAACUCAACUGGAAUCAAACGCACAAAUUGGCCACUUCUUCCCGGUUACAUGCAAGGAGGGAAAGGCCUUGAGGAACAAUAAGAAGUUCACCACAAUCGACAUACAGAAAAAUGGGGUCAGAUUGAUGAACAGGCCCUAAUAUGGUUGGGAAAUCCACGUAUAUCCGCCAGACUGGCAUAAUAGUCCUUAUGGCGCAGGUUGGUUGCUUUGUCCCCUGUGAUUCUGAAGAAGUCAGCAUAGUGGACUGUAUUCUUGCCCGAGUUGCUGCUGGAGACAGUUGAGAGGAGUUUCAACGUUUAUGGCUGAGAUGCUAAAAAACUGCCUCCAUUCUAAGGAAGGUGAAAAGAUAAUCCAAGAUUUCCUUUCCAGAGUGAAAGCUUUGCCUCUGACGUAAAUGUCUGAGGAAGAGAUAAAGAAAAAGCUGAAGCAGUUCCGAGCUGAAGGCCUUGCAAAAAAAAGAUCAGUUUUGUCAGUGAGGUUAUUUCCAGAACAAAAGUAGA